CUGCUGAUGAUACUGACACUGAGCACGAAAGCGCGGUAGCAAAAGGGAUUAGAUACCCCUGUAGUCCGCGCCCUAAACGGUGCACACUAGGUUUUGGAGGAAUCGACCCCUUCAGAGCCCCAGUUAACACGAUAAGUGUGCCGCCUGAGGACUACGGUCGCAAGACUAAAACUCAAAGGAAUUGACGGGGGCCCGCACAAGCGGUGGAGUAUGUGGCUUAAUUCGAUGCAACGCGAAGAACCUUACCAGGACUUGACAUACACUUGAACGGGGCUGAGAGGCCUUUUUCCUUCGGGACAAGUGUACAGGUGCUGCAUGGCUGUCGUCAGCUCGUGUCGUGAGAUGUUCGGUUAAGUCCGGCAACGAGCGCAACCCCUGCCCCUAGUUGCCAUCAUUUAGUUGGGGACUCUAGGGGGACAAACUCUCUUUGAGAGUGGGAAGGUGGGGACGACGUCAAGUCAGUAUGGCCCUUACGUCCUGGGCUGCACACGUACUACAAUGCUUGGUACAGAGGGAAGCAAGACCGCGAGGUGGAGCCAAUCCUUAAAGCCAAGCCCAGUUCAGAUUGCAGUCUGCAACUCGACUGCAUGAAGAUGGAAUCGCUAGUAAUGGCACAUCAGCAACGGUGCCGUGAAUACGUUCCCGGGCCUUGUACACUCCGCCC
rnacentral:rRNA from 1 species